rnacentral:rRNA from 1 species
CCCUUAGAUGUCCUGGGCCGCACGCGCGCUACACUGAUGCAUUCAACGAGUGACCUUAGCCGAGAGGCCUGGGCAAUCUUUUGAACGUGCAUCGUGAUAGGGAUAGAUUAUUGCAAUUAUUAAUCUUGAACGAGGAAUUCCUAGUAAACGCAGAUCAUCAUUCUGCAUUGAUUACGUCCCUGCCCUUUGUACACACCGCCCGUCGCUCCUACCGAUUGAGUGGUCCGGUGAGGCUUUGGGAUCUGAGCGGAAAGAGCGUUUCGCUGUUUCUGCUCGGAAAACUCAGUCGAACCUUAUCAUUUAGAGGAAGGAGAAGUCGUAACA